GCCUCGAUGGUGUAGUUGGCUAUCACGUGGGUCUCAUAAUCCCGAGGUCGAGAGUUCGAUCCUCUCUCGGGGCA
rnacentral:tRNA from 3 species